GUAGGUGGCAAGCGUUGUCCGGAAUUAUUGGGGCGUAAAGCGCGCGCAGGGCGGUCCUUUAAGUCUGAUGUGAAAGCCCACGGCUCAACCGUGGAGGUUCAUUGGAAACUGGGGGACUUGAGUACAGAAGAGGAAAGCGGAAUUCCAAGUGUAGCGGUGAAAUGCGUAGAGAUUUGGAGGAACACCAGUGGCGAAGGCGGCUUUCUGGUCUGUAACUGACGCUGAGGCGCGAAAGCGUGGGGAGCAAACAGGAUUAGAUACCCUGGUAGUCCACGCCGUAAACGAUGAGUGCUAAGUGUUAGGGGGUUUCCGCCCCUUAGUGCUGCAGCUAACGCAUUAAGCACUCCGCCUGGGGAGUACGGCCGCAAGGCUG
rnacentral:rRNA from 1 species